rnacentral:lncRNA from 7 species
AAGCAGAGUAAGACAGCGUGAGUGGAGUUAAUGAGGGCUUAGCACCCCACAGACCUCAAGCAGCCCCACCGCCAUGUAUAGGCAUGCCUUCCUGUCGGUAUAAACGAGCACGUGAAGGGACAGGACUGAAUUUAGGGCUGACGGUUUUAUGCAGAGAAAGAAUAGAAAGGACCGUCCGAUCUGUUGCUGGCGUUGCCCAGCCGUAGGCAGAAAUAACCCUGCAGGUUUAUUGAACGUGACGCUGCAGAUGCACCCGGACGAAGUUGGCUCAUCGCAGAAUGGAUCGUCGGAAAAGACCUUCAAGCUCAUCAAGUCCAACCAUCAACCUGACAUUAGACUUAGUGCUGUAGCCACGCAUCUCUUAGACCUCCCCCCAAGGAAGGGGGACUUCCCUGGGCAGCUCUAAAUAUGUUACAUCUUGAAGGAAAAUUCUGUCAAGUGCGUAAAGCACUUAUUUAACUGAAGUUCAGCUAAGCUUCUGCACUGCUUGGUGCUCCCUGCUUUUACCUGUCACAAAAAUACACGAGCCUAAACGACAAAAAAAGGACUUUCAUGCAGCACUUCAAAUUCUGUACUUGGUGUCUGUAAGAUUUUAAACACCAGCGGUUGUCGUAAAGUCACACGGUAAAUGUCACAGAAUCAUAGAAUGGCUGUGUUGGAGGGGACCUUAAAGGUUUGCAAACAGUUACUCGGAUUUGUGUUUAUGCUUGGUAAUUUGUACCCCUAUUCACAUUCUAAACAGGAUUCUGUUCACUCUUAUGCAUGGGCACUUGCUUUUCUUUCUGUUGUCAUGAAAACCAGGGGUUUCUUGCAGGCUGGUAGAAAGAAACUUCCCAGUGGAUGAGGUUAGGAUUAAUUCCCCUAAACAUUUGUUCCCAGAGCUAUCCAUCUGUGGAAGCUCAGCAAAGCACAGCUCUUUGCUUUAGGAGGUCCCAAAAGAUGCGGAGCUAAAAAAUCUUUCGGUCUAAUUGAGCAAACAUCUUGUCUUCCUCCUGCCCCCGAUUUAUGCACCGAAAAAUCUUCAUGUGUUUUCCAUGGUAGGUAUAAUUGUGCCUGCAGAGAUCUGCACUCUCAUCACGGUUACCUGCUGAGUUCUCACAGAAUCCUUGCAGGAGGUAGUACCUUGGGUUUCCUUUGUUUCCCAUGGGAUUAAUAGCUGCUGAUUUACCCCUAGCCAGUGUGACUUGGGUUGUAAAAUCACAUGCUGUGCGUGCCAAGAUGUAAUCCUUAAACAUAGUCUACCCUCUUUCCAUU